UAAGAAUUUUAUUUAUGCAAAGACAAUUUU
rnacentral:piRNA from 1 species